rnacentral:lncRNA from 1 species
GGAGGGAGUGGAUCAGACUUCUUCAAAUCUUAGUGGCCCCAGAGCGAGCGGUGGCGUGUGUGGGCGAGGGGGGCUGGCAAGUAAGAUGGGGGGGAGCUGAGGCCGGGAAAGACGCUUCAGCCUAUUUGACUCCAAUCCCUGCCCCCAAAAGAACCCCAAAUUUUCACUCUAGCACCCGCCGAGGAGACAGAAACUCGCGCCCCAGGCCAUGGACCCUGCGCAUGGUGGCUGGGAACGAGCAUGUGGCCCACUUGUGGGGGGCGGUAAACAAAUCAGGCUGGACGUUGCCUCAGAUUGCAUCGAUUUGAAAAGGCAUUUUCAAAACCCAUUUCCUCUAUUUCACUGCGUUUUCAUCGCCCCGCCACCCAGACAAAAGAUGGUGUCAGCCACAUGAAACGGAACAUUGAUGAAUCCUGGCCGCAGCCGGAGGCCUGCGCGCGCCGGAAGAUGAUGGAGAAGCUGAGGACUCCCCGU